GUGGGGAAUAUUGGACAAUGGGCGAAAGCCUGAUCCACCCAUGCCGCGUGUGUGAAGAAGGUCUUCGGAUUGUAAAGCACUUUAAGUUGGGAGGAAGGGCAGUAAGUUAAUACCUUGCUGUUUUGACGUUACCGACAGAAUAAGCACCGGCUAACUUCGUGCCAGCAGCCGCGGUAAUACGAAGGGUGCAAGCGUUAAUCGGAAUUACUGGGCGUAAAGCGCGCGUAGGUGGUUUUGUAAGUUGGAGGUGAAAUCCCCGGGCGCAACCUGGGAACUGCCUCCAAAACUGCAUGACUAGAGUACGGUAGAGGGUAGUGGAAUUUCCUGUGUAGCGGUGAAAUGCGUAGAUAUAGGAAGGAACACCAGUGGCGAAGGCGACUACCUGGACUGAUACUGACACUGAGGUGCGAAAGCGUGGGGAGCAAACAGGAUUAGAUACCCUUGUAGUCC
rnacentral:rRNA from 1 species